GUAACAUCAGUGUUACGAAAAGGGAUGUUAGUCAUUUGUCCGUCGAUCGCUGAUGAGGAAUGUUCUUGGCGUUACUGACUAAAAUAGGUGUCGAGUUUGUGUGCGUGAUAAUUAACGAGUCUUCAGUUGAAAAGUGACUAAUAUUACCUAGUUUGGUACACCUAUUUUGAACUUCGGAAGAGAUGAUCUGAGCUCAACAGCUGUUAUGUUUUGAAAAUGAGUAUCCAGCUGAGUCACCUGUUGCUUCUACAACCUGACAAUGAAAACUCUCCAUUAGCUAUGUUUUGCUAUUUAGUUUAAAUCCAGUAUUUAGGCUGACAAGCAUCUGACGUAUAUUAAAUCUCAACAACCAAAACAUGACUCAAUAAAAUAAGCAAUGCAUCAAGAUGGUUUACUCCAUUACUCUUGCCAAGAUGAUCUAUGCUAUAGCAAAGAUGCAUGCAAGCUAUUACCAGUACACCAACUCAUCGUCAAGAUAUUUUGAGUCAGUAGUAACCCUGUUGUUGACAAUGCAUCCACGAAAACAUCACCAGUCAUGACUUGAAAUAUAUAUCUUCUGCUGAUAUUUUUGAUGUUAGUAUUACCAGCGUAUCUACACAAGUUCCAUUGAUUUCCAGUUGUACCAUGAACAACUUAUCUUCCAUGGGUGAAAUUACUUUUGACAUCACAAAUUACAAUAAAGAAAACAGUAAUAAUUAAAAUUUUUCAAAAGUCUUGCUUUUCGAGAACGUUGGCAUGAUAAAACUUCACAGUUUACAGUUGAGUAUCCCGAACUCUAAUAUUCAGUAAAUGGUUUAGAAAAUAUAUAGAAUGGUUUCAAGGUCAUUGUUAAACCUGGGAUUCACAACAACAAAAUUAAACCCCUAUUGUAAAACAAAAACUUUUAGUGUUUUCAGUAUGUCUCGGUUUAAUCGGGUUCCCAUUUUUUGAACAAUUACAAAAUCUAUUUUCGACUGUCAAAUUUAGACUAGAUUUUGGCUCCCUUGCCCUUGCCCCAAAGUAAUAUCAGUUAAUUGGGUAACAUAAUUUUUUAUGUCUGUUGGUUUUCACCUUAGCUGUAGCUAUCAAGUUGUAGACUUAACAAGUUAGUUUAACCUGAUUGCUUGAUACAUACUGCAGGCAAUAAGUUUUGUGGAAGUAUUUAUUUUAAAUGGUUCAGUGGCUGGUUAAUACUUUACCAAGCGAGUUUUGGAAUGUUUUAAAAAGGGAUGUUUUAAAUCCCGGGGCUAACAAUGUAUUGUCGUGAGAGAUGCAAGAAUUAUUGGAAACACAGAAAUCGAAGAAAGGCUACUAAUGUUCUUAGGCUGUCUUUCUCUCUUGAUCAACAUUCGCUAUUGUUGAUGGUUUCACAUUAAUGAUCUUAUGAAAUGCUGAGCCAUAUCCAGAAAUAGAGAAGUACACUGGUUUGAUUAGAAGUAAUGUUUACGAAUACUACUGAAUUAACAACAACAAAAAUAAUGCAAAUGAAAAUCAUAUCCAUCCAAAAAUUAAUAAGAAUCAAUAAUAAUACCCUGUAGUGGGUAAUGCUGUCACUGUACCUCGAUCAGUGCACUGUAGGCAUUACUUAAGGUUCUUUGCAUCAUCCCUUCGGCUCCUAGCUGUAGUAACCAUUAUUACCUUUACUGUAACUGAUUUCGUAUUCUAUCUCUUACCAUCUUACUUUCCACCCUCACUGAACUAUUGUUUCAUAGCACAACUGCGAAGAUUUCAUCCUUGUUACACCUCUCCAACCUUUUUACUCUCAAUGUUCCUUUCAGUGCUCUGUUUUUGGCCCAAGUUUUAUUUCCCGAUCCAUGUUUAAAUGCAAUGGAUAAAAAUGUAUUCUGUAGAAAGAGAUACAAGGAUUUUAAAAUGCGGAAAUCAAAAGAGAAGCGACCAAUAUUAUUAUAGAAUUUUUCGUUCUUAUUCAGCACCUGUUGCAGAUGGUUUAGUAUAAUAGUCUUGGUAACUAUUAACUCGUAAAGACACCGACACUGGUUUGAUAGAAGUAAAUUGACUAAAACAAUAAUUUAAAGUAUAAUAAUAGUCGUCCAGAAAGUAAUGUAGAUUAUAAUAGCAGCAACAGUCCAGACCAAAGCGCUGAGUGUUAGUUACAAGAUUAACAAGAGUAAUGUCAUUACAGUACCAUUAUGGACAGAAAAUGCCCUACGCCGC